GACGAACGCUGUCGGCGUGCCUAAUACAUGCAAGUCGAGCGGACAGAAGGGAGCUUGCUCCCGGAAGUUAGCGGCGGACGGGUGAGUAACACGUGGGCAACCUACCCUGUAGAUCGGGAUAACAUCGAGAAAUCGGUGCUAAUACCGGAUAAUCAUUUGAAGUGCAUGCUUCGAAUGUAAAAGAUGGCUCCGGCUAUCACUACGGGAUGGGCCCGCGGCGCAUUAGCUAGUUGGUAAGGUAAUGGCUUACCAAGGCAACGAUGCGUAGCCGACCUGAGGGGGUGAUCGGCCACACUGGGACUGGGACACGGCCCAGACUCCUACGGGAGGCAGCAGUAGGGAAUCUUCCGCAAUGGACGAAAGUCUGACGGAGCAACGCCGCGUGAGUGAUGAAGGUUUUCGGAUCGUAAAGCUCUGUUGUUAGGGAAGAACAAGUGCCGUUUGAAUAAGGCGGCACCUUGACGGUACCUAACCAGAAAGCCACGGCUAACUACGUGCCAGCCGCCGCAGUAAAAC
rnacentral:rRNA from 1 species